rnacentral:rRNA from 1 species
GGGGCAUACACAGAUGGAGCAGGCGCGCAAUUACCCAAUGCGGACACUGUGAGGUAGUGACGAGAAAUAAUAAAGCGGGACUUCUGUUUCGCUAUUAUAAUGAGGAAUAACCAAAGGUCAUUCCGAUUAGCAACUGAUGGGAAAGUCUGGUGCCAGCAGCCGCGGUAAUACCAGCGUCAGUAGCAUAUAUUAAAAUUGUUGCAGUUAAAACGUCCGUAGUCUGUACGUCGUCCCAAACUCACUGCAGUCUUCCGUUUUCUUGAUUGAAUGCGGUAGUCUCUGCAGUCACUCCCUUGAUCAAAUUAAGUUGUUCAAGGUAGACCAAGUCUUCAUAUUUUCACAUGGAAUUGGGUGAGGGAACUUAAGAGUUUAAGUUUCUCGUCUUAGGAUCAUCCGGGGUCAUUCGUACUCGUCCGCGAGAGGUGAAAUUCUUGGACCGGACGAAGACGACCAGCAGCGAAAGCAUCUGUCAGGGAUGUUUUCUGCGACAAAGGACGAAGGUCAGGGUAUCGAAGACGAUUAGAUACCGUCGUAGUCCUGACUGUAAACUAUGCCAACUUGGGUCUUGCUGGGCGAUGCUUUGUGAGACCCACACAGAAAUGAAAGUGUAUGGGUUCUGGGGGUAGUAUGGACACAAGUCUGAAACUUGAAGGAAUUGACGGAAGAGCACCAUAAGACGUGGAGCUUGCGGCUUAAUUUGACUCAACGCGGGAAAACUUACCAGGUCAAGACAUGGGCGUGAUUGACAGGCUAAUGACUUUUCUCGAUUCCAUGGAUGGUGGUGCAUGGUCGCACUUAGUUGGUGCAGUGAUUUGUCAGGUUUAUUCCGGUAACGAACGAGACCUCGGCCUUGUAACUAGCUAUGCUGCUUACAGGGACAUUGGCGGCUACGCCAAGGAAGUUCGAGGCAAUUGCAGAUCUGGAAUGCCCUUAGAUGUCCUGGGUCGCACGCGUGCUACAAUGACGCCAUAAGCGAGUUUGCGUGAUGAAAGUCACGCAUAAUCAGCAAUCGGCGUCUUAAGGGAUAGUCUCUUGUAACUGUGGGACUCCAACUAGGAAUGUCUCGUAAGCACAAGUCAACAUCUUGUGUUGAUUACGUCCCUGCUCUUUGUACACACCGCGGCGUCGCUCCUACCGAUCGAGUGUUUAGAUGAAUAUGAUGGACGUAAGGAAGUCAAAUAAAUCGUAGCCUUAAAGAGA